UUCCCCUAGUAACUGCGAGUGAAGCGGGAAAAGCUCAAAUUUAAAAUCUGGCGGUCUCUGGCCGUCCGAGUUGUAGUCUGGAGAAGUGCUUUCCGCGCUGGACCGUGUAUAAGUCUCUUGGAACAGAGCGUCAUAGAGGGUGAGAAUCCCGUCUUUGACACGGACUACCAGUGCUUUGUGAUGCGCUCUCAAAGAGUCGAGUUGUUUGGGAAUGCAGCUCAAAAUGGGUGGUGAAUUCCAUCUAAAGCUAAAUAUUGGCGAGAGACCGAUAGCGAACAAGUACCGUGAGGGAAAGAUGAAAAGCACUUUGGAAAGAGAGUUAAACAGUACGUGAAAUUGCUGAAAGGGAAACGCUUGAAGUCAGUCGCGUUGUCCGGAACUCAGCCUUGCUUUUGCUUGGUGCACUUUCCGGAUGACGGGUCAGCAUCGAUUUUGACCGUCGGAAAAGGGCUGGAGUAAUGUGGCACCUCCGGGUGUGUUAUAGACUCUGGUCGCAUACGGCGGUUGGGAUCGAGGAACGCAGCGCGCCGCAAGGCAGGGGUUCGCCCACUUUCGCGCUUAG
rnacentral:rRNA from 1 species